rnacentral:pre_miRNA from 1 species
CAAGACAUUCCUGAGACAUGAUUCUAGAAGCUUCCUUGAAUCAGUCUCCGGAAUUUCUGGCC